AGCGAACGCUGGCGGCAGGCUUAACACAUGCAAGUCGAACGGGCAUAGCAAUAUGUCAGUGGCAGACGGGUGAGUAAGGCGUGGGAACGUACGUUUUGGUUCGGAACAAAACAGGGAAACUUGUGCUAAUACCGGAUAAGCCCUUACGGGGAAAGAUUUAUCGCCGAAAGAUCGGCCCGCGUCUGAUUCGCUAGUUGGUAGGGUAAUGGCCUACCAAGGCGACGAUCAGUAGCUGGUCUGAGAGGAUGAUCAGCCACAUUGGGACUGAGACACGGCCCAACCUCCUACAGGAGGCAGCAGUGGUGAAUAUUAGACAAUGAGCGAAAGCCUGAUCCCUCCAUGCCGCGUGAGUGAUGAAGGCCCUAGGAUUAUAAACCUCUUUUGUGCGGCAAGAUAAUAACGGUACCUCAACAAUAAGCCCCGGCUAACUUCGUG
rnacentral:rRNA from 1 species